AUGUGUGCGUCCGUCAAUCUUUCGCAGCUACGCCUUUCCGUGAGGCGGCUGGAGCAGGAAAUCGCCGAGCCGUGCUGCAGAGAGGAAAGGAUGGCAGGUGGUGCCGCGGUGAACACUCCCAACACAUGCAGGAGGAAAGAAAGGAUGGCAGGUGGUGCCGCGGUGAACACUCCCAACACAUGCAGGAGGAAAGAAAGGAUGGCAGGUGGUGCCGCGGUGAACACUCCCAACACAUGCAGGAGGAAAAGCCAAGAAGAAAUAUAAUACAGACAAGAGACAAUGCAUGAAGACAGAUGAGGGAUCUCCAAACAAGAAGAUGGAUAAUGUGAACACAGCUACUGUGCUCGCCAUCAUUUCUCAAGAGUUAGACUCUUCAGAAUUCUGGGAACUGACAGACCAGGAACCAAGAAUGGUGGUGGUAACUGGUGAGCUGAGCUAAGGGAAGAAAUUCAGCGCGUCUAAGAGUCAUGAUCCGCACCACCACCCGCAUGUACAGCUACCUAGGCAGGUGGCUUGGGGUGGCUGGCUACAUGAUACAGUAUGGAUGCAUUGCCCACUGUACUCUUGAGUUUGUGGGUGACUUUGUUGUGUGUCGUGGACCCUCUAUGGAGCCAACAAUCUACUCUGAGGACGUAAUACUGACAGAACACAUUACUCCUCGUUUCAACCGCAUUAGUCGUGGAGAUGUAAUCAUUGCUCGCUCUCCUACCAACCCCCAUCACCACAUCUGCAAGCGUGUUACUGGUCUGGAAGGGGACAGAGUCAAGGAUGGAUUUAAGACACAUUAUGUUCCCAAAAGUCACGUGUGGCUGGAGGGAGACAACCAUAACAACUCAACUGACUCCCGUAACUUUGGCUCGGUACCAGCUGGGUUGAUCCGAGGGCGAGCAGUGUUCAGGGUGUGGCCGCUCUCUGACCUGGGUCUGCUGGACUCUUCCUACUCUUCUUCCUCCUCAGCCCAGAAGUGGGAGGUGGAUCAAUGAUGAAAUGUUCCAGUAGAGGAGAUUAUUAUUGCUCCCUUUUUCUAACCAUCCUGAUUUUCUCAACUGCUGUAACUUACAUGGGACUGGUGGGAUGAAGUCUGCGUGCCUGCCAGUACACACACACACACACACACACACACACACACACACACACACACACACACACACACACACACACACACACACACACACACACACACACACACACACACACAUACAAGUAUUGAUGUAUGGAACAGUCUGGAUGAGGAGAUAGUAAAUGCAGAAAGUAUACAUGGAUUCAAGGCGAAGUUGGAUAUUAAAAGAUAUGGAGAUGGGACAGCAUGAGCAUAGCUCUUUUCCCAUAAAGCACAACUAGGUAAAUACAACUAGGUAAACACGCACACACACACACACACACACACUUACACAUAAGAGAGUGGUACAUGUAAGAAAUGCUCAUGACUUUAAUACAUACAGACACAUGCUAUUUGGAGCUAUUUUUUUUUUCCACUUCAAUGCUGAGCCUCCCUCCUCCCCGUCUUUUUUUUUUUUACUGUAUAAAUCAAUUGAAAAUUCUGUAAAAACUAAGGAGAAAAGUUAUAAUAACACUCAUCACGGCCUAUUUUUACCUUUAUGGGAGAUGCUUAUAGAGUGCACUAUGGUGCAUCCUCCAGCCCAGCUGCCAACCUCCCUCAUCUUGUAUGCCACUUUGACAUUGUAUUAUUCUUGCUUGAGUGUUGUUUGUAAGCAGUAUGAUUGCCUCUUUGACUACAUACAUGUACAACUGUGUGAGAUAUAUAAAGAUAACUAUACGGUGGUCCCCCAUUCGUUACUAGUAUUAGGGGACAGCAACCACUAUGUUGAGCAGAAAUCUGCAAUAUUUUUCCAUCCCCCCUAAAGAGAUACAGAAAUUACAUUUCAACACCUUGCAACCUCCUAAAAAGAUCUGUAUUGGCCAGUAAAAUAAAUACUAAACAAUAAAUGCUAAACAACAACCAUUAGUGGCAGCAGGGGUGAUCUAGAGCUGGAGUCACGGGCUUCAUAACCUCUUUCAGCAAGCUCCUCUGUGAAACAAGUGAAAAAAGAAAGCAAGUGGCUAGAAGUAGAAGAGUAUGGUAAUGACAAUGAAAGACAGCAUCUUGCUUGACCAGUAAACAAGGAGAGAACAGGGUAGAGAGGAAGUAUGUCAGGCUAGAAAUUAAAGGAAGCACAAGGAAUGGGAUAUGCUGUUACUCAUACAUAAAAAGGUGUGUUGUGGUUUCCUUCAUGUAAGAUGAAAAUAGUGGUGGUGUCCCACUAACGAGAUUUGUCAGGUAUACUUCCCAGUGGUGCUGUGUGUGUGUGUGUGUGUGUGUGUGUGUGUGUGUGUGUGUGUGUGUGUGUGUGUGUGUGUAUGCUAUAUUAUUCUGUGUUUUAAUUUUUUUUCAUAUAUCCUUAAUUCAUUAAAUUGAUAGAUAUAAGCUUUUCCAUAAGAAAAAUCUUGGAAUGGAAAUGCACAAUCUUAUUUUGUAAUUAUUGUUGUUACUGCUGUGGCUGGAAUGAGGCAGUGGGCCAGUGGUGCAGUGUGCGAGUCUCAUCAGUGGAAGGGUAGUGCUGGUCUGUGGAAAGUUAGAGAAACGCAGAAGGGAGCGUGUUUGGUACUCGGCACCAAAAAAAUAAUAAAUAAUAAAUAAAAUAAAAAAAUCCAAAGCCAAUAACCAUGUAAAAAUAGGGGCUGCAUUGAUUGAACCAGUGAUGAGCAGGUGUCCACUAUGUGGACACUAUUUCUCUGUGUAAAUUUGUACCAUACUUUCACAAUUAUUCUUGUAUCUGUUGAUCUUACCGUCAUUUUCAUUAUUGUUUUGGUAAUAAUGUGUAAGAAACACAAAGUAUUUUUGAUAUAGGUUAUGAUGGGAUUUCAACUUCAGCCAGCUCAUCCUGAGUUGGUUCAUAGUCAUCCCCAGAUGACUCAGACUCACUGAGCUCAUAAUCAGAGUUCAGAAGUAUGUUCAGUGCCUCAAGGGCAGAAAGAGUGGAGUGGCAGCAGUCAGACAUGGCAUAAACAUUCCUGACUACUGACAAGGAUUCCAUCACCAUGGCACAUGGGUAGAGUGGGUGGGCAGUGAACACCUCUUGAAAUAUGGGUUUCUGCAGAGGGAAAUACUGCAGUGGUGUAAUGAACUUUUAUUUCGGGUGAAGGAGAUGAAGAUGAUAAAGAAGGAAGAACAAAGGAAAAGAAGAAGGAACAGAAGGAAGAAUAUGAAAGGAAAGAAGAGAAAGAAGGGAAAAAAAGAAAUGGAAGAAGGAAAAAAAUUAAGGAAGUAGAAAAAGAUGACAAAAAAAUAUACAGUGAUUGAACUAAUAUAAAUAGUAGCCAUCUUGUUUUGUUGAUGAAAAGUAUCGCAGAAGAAAUAGUUUUUAAUCCAAACCCACCAGAUGCUCCUUUACCUGUAUAACUCAUAACUUGAAUAAUUUAAAUUUGUUACAUAUUUUCAAAUUACUGUUGACAUUUUAUAAGUUGUAACACAAGUUUCUGCAGAUAUUGGUUUGAGGUGAAAGUACAAGUUAUUCUAAGAAAAUGUUCAAUGCUCUUAUGCAUUUUAAGGCCUUGUUUGGCCAUGGUAUAAAAUUCCAGUGUGACAGAUGAACAGAUGGAUGGCAUAUCUGCAUACUCCACAUUACUUAAGCAUAUGGCAUUGCUGAGUUUUUUUUUUUUUUUUCAAAAUUGUCAGAACUAUUGUUCCAACAGGAUAAUUUAUCAUGGUGGCUAACAAUUUCAAUUUAGAUAUAAAGAUCCAGUCUCUAAAAGCCUGAUCAUAAUAUUACUAGCCUCAAACAAUUUAUGGGAAGAUGUAAAAGCUUACAUAAGUCUCUCACUGCACAUAAUAUCAAUAGAGAUGAAAUGUGUUUCAUAUUCCUCAUAAAUUACUUACUAUCCCCUGUAAAGGAAAUAUAAAAAGGGUGCUGAAGGAAAACAUGUUAAAUAUAGAGGAAGUUCUGGAUUGUUUGAGAAAUGAAGUAUUCACAAUUGAGAGUAGUACAUCAAUAGUUGAGAGUAAUGCAUCCAUAGCUAAGAUGGAAAUAGAACAUUAUGCAGAUAGAUUCAAUAUAGGACAAAAGAGGGAAGAGAAGCUUAAAAUUCAAUGUAAAUUAUGCCACAGACAAAAUCAUCCAUGGUUCAAAUGCCACAAAUACAGAUCCUGAUUCAGAGGAUAAUGUAAUGGAUGUUUGGAACCUGAGCACUACAAUAAAGGCUGCACAAAUCCUAACAUAAAAAAAUGCAAAUUUUGCAAAAAGAAACACUGCCAUUCCCUUUGUUUAAAAUCUAAAUCAACAAAUCCCAAAGAAAGGACUAUCUUAACUACUACACUAAUAUUACUCCUUGUAGCAAAAGGAGGUAAGAACACUAAGUUAAGGGCCUUGUUAGACCAGUGUUCACAAAAAAAUUUUGUCCUCAAGUCCUCUUUGGCCAUAAUAAAGUAUAAAUUGAUUGACAAAGAAACCCUAAUGCUACAGGUGAUCAGAUAAACAGGGAUUUUAUAAAGAAAGUGAAUAUGCAUAACAAUAACCAUCAUGCUCUUCACUAUUUAUCACAUCAUGGCAUGAAAAAAGAUAGCAUAACCACUCCAGUUAGAAUAGACUAUGAUUGUUCAGCUAAACAAUCCCCUAAUUCAUUAAGCCUCAAUGACUGCUUGUUAGCAGGUCCAAGUCUAGUACCUGACUUAGCUCAGAUUCUACUAAGAUCCAGGCACCAAAAAUGUACCUUCAUGUCAGAUAUAAAAAACACAUCACUGAUGGUGGAUGAUGAAAAAGAUUGAGACUAUAUUAGAUUUCUGUGGCCAAGAGAUCCCUUAAAUCCUGUUUUCCCAUUUUACAUCUUUAGGUUCAAGGUUGUUUUGUUUGAAGCCACCUGUUCUCAGUAUCUACUUAAUGCCACCAUUGUCCAUCACCUAACUGAUUUCCAAGAACAGGAGGACAGUAUUAAGAACAUAAAACAAGGAAUAUAUAUUGACAACCUACAGGGAACAAAUAAGCAUGAAGAAGAUCUAUUAGAACAAUACUGGCAGGUACAGAGAAUAAUUAAUAAGGCCCACCUGAUAUAAGAGAAUGGGUAACUAACAGUCCCAAACUACAAGAUCAACUUGAGAUAUACAAUGGUAUAUCUAAGAAACAAGACCAAGUUAAUCUGGAAACCAGGUACACAAACACACUUUCAAAAUCAGUGACUUUAAGGAUCCUGAUAAAAUAACAAAAAGAUCAUGCUUAAGUAUGGUGUCAAAACCAUUUGAUCCACAAGGCUUAUUGCUUUACGUAACAGUCAAGUCAAGAAUAUUUUUACAAGGCCUGUGGAAACUAAAAACAUCAUGGGAUCAGACUCUACCUGAUAAACUUUGUGAUCAACAGAAUCUACUUAACAAGGAACUCAAAACAGCAAACAAAACAGAAAUGCUUAGAACAACCAUAAUACAAGAGGAAACAGACUUGCAUAUUUUUAAUACCAGCAAUAAGAUAUGUGGAGUUUGUGUCUACAUAUGUAACAGUGGGUAAGGGAACUUGAUAAUAGGUAAAGCAAAGGUUGCCCCAUUAAAAAACCUCACCUUCCUUAAAUAGAACUAACUGCUGUCCUCUUAGCUGCUAGGCUAAUCACUUCAUCCAUGAAGCCUAUUAGGGUGUAAUUAAUGUAAGAAGCAUUAACUUAUUGUGUGACAACCAAAUCACUCUAUAUUAGUUACAAAGUCAGAAGACAUUACCCAUAUAUGUGGCCAGUAGUGUAAGAGAAAUCAACCAACUCAUUCCUAAUGUAAACAUAAAAUAUGUGACAACUAAAGAUGUUCCAGCAUAUCUCCUAACUCAGGGAAUAAAUAUAGAUGAGCUAAAUCAGUCCUCUCUGUGGUGGCAAAGACCCUCAUGGCUAGCCCACAAAAAUGAGUGGCCAAAAGUGCAAAUUAACAUGACUCAACCUACUGAGAUAAAUAAUUCUAAAUACAGUCACAACACCAGCUAAAUUAUUGGAAUACAGCAAAUAUAACUAGAGAUCAAAAAUAUUAGCCAAAAACUCCUUUAUUAACAGAAAGUGUUGAAGUCUUUCAAGAUCCAGUUCCUCCCAUGACUUCUGGCACCUAGCCAGAAACAUCUCCAAUAACUUUGCUUCUUCAUCUUUCCCUCCUUUAUUUCAACCUGAUGGCACCAUUGCCAUCUCAUCUAUUUCUAAAGCUGAACUCUUUACUCAAACCUUUGCUAAAAACACUACCUUCAAUAAUUCAGGGCUUGUUCCUCCCUUUCCUCCAUCCUCUGACUACUUCAUGUUACUUAUUAAAAUUCUUUGUAAUGAUGUUUUCCAUACUCUCGCUGACCUAAACCCUCGGAAGGCUUAUAAACCUGAUGGGGUCCCUCUUAUUGCUCUCCGAAACUGUACCUCCAUGCUUGCACCUUGCCUAGUCAAACUCUCUCAAGUUUGUCUGUCAACACCUACCUUCCCUUCUUCCUGGAAGUUUACUUACAUUCAGCUUGUUCCUAAAAAGGGUGACCAUUCUGAUCCCUUAAACUACUGUGUUAUUGCUUUAAUUUCGUGCCUAUCUAAAGUUUUUGAAUAUAUCCUCAACAGGAAGAUUCUUAAACUUAUAUCACCUCACAACCUUCUAUCUGAUUGCCAGUAUGGUUCCAUCAAGGCCACUCUGCUGGUGAUCUGGCUUUCCUUACUAAGUCUUGAUCAUCCUCAAAACUUUUGCUGUUGCCUUAGACAUAACAAAGGCUUUUGAUAGAACCUAGCACAAAGCUUUGAUUUCUAAACUAUCCUCCUAUGGGUUCUAUCUUUCUCUCUGUGGCUUUAUCUCAAGUUUCCUUUUUGACUGUUCUAUUGCUGCUGUGGUAGACAGUUACUGUUCUAAAAUCUAUUAACAGUGGUUUUCCUCAGGGUUCUGUUCUGUUACCCACUCUCUUCCUAUUAUUCAUCAAUGAUCUUCUAAAACAAAUUUCUUGUACUAUCCACUCCUACGCUGAUGAUACCACCCUGCACUUUUUCACGUCUUUUCAUAGACAUCCAACCUUUCAAGAAAUAAACAGUUCACACAGGGAAGCCACAAAAUGCCUGACUUCUGAUCUCACUAAAAUUUCUGAUUGGGACAGAGCAAACUUAGUAUUAUUCAAUGCCUCAAAAACUCAAUUCCUCCAUCUAUCAACUUGAAACAGCCUUCCAGACAACUAUCCACUCUCCUUCAAUGACAUUCAACUGCUCCCCCUCUUCUACACUGAACAUCCUCAGUCUGUCCCUUACUUAUAAUCUAAACUGGAAACUUCACAUCUCAUCUCUAGCUAAAACAGCUUCUGUGAAGUUAGGUGUUCUGAGUUGUCUCUGCCAGUUUUUCUUCCCUCCCCCCCACCUCACCCCUGCUGCUAACUCUGUACAGGGGCCUUAUCUGUCCAUGUAUGGAGUAUGCUUUACAUGUAUGGGGGGGUUCCACUCAUACUGCUCUUUUAGACGGGGUGAAAUCAAAAGCUUUUCAUCUUAUCAACUCUCCUCUAACUGACUGUCUUCAGCCUCUUUCUCAUCACCGCAGUGUUGCAUCACUUGCUAUCUUUAUUGCUAUUUUCAUGCCAACUGCUCUUCUAUUCUUGCUAAUUGCAUGCCUUCCCUACUCCUACUGCCUCACUGCAUAAGUCUUUCUUCUUUCUCUCACCCCUAUUCUAUCCACCUCUCUAAUGCAAAAGUUAACCAAUAUUCUCUAUCAUUCAUCCCUUUCUCUGGUAAACUCUGAACUCCCUGCCUCCUGUAUUUCCAUCUUCCUAUGAUUUCAACUCUUUCAAGAGACUGGUUUCAAGACACAUAUCCUGCAUUUUUUAUUAAUGCUUUUGACUCUGUAAAGGGACUGGCACCUCACUGGGCCUUUCCUUUUUGUUGCAAUUUUUGUUGCCCUUGGUUGGUGUCCCUCCUACAUAAAAAAAAAAAAAAAAAAAAAAAAAUGGGUACUUCAUUAUAUAGAUAACCCCAAGGCUAAGUCAAAGGCUUUGGCUAUAUCAAUACUGCCUAAUCAUUAAGGUGGGAGAAGUAGAGGCAGCAGAACAUAAAUUAAUUAAAUUAAUACAAAAGGAAGAAUUUUUUAAAUACACCUUAUUCAUAAGAAAGGCUGAUAGAUUAUCAUAUACAAACAUAAUACUCUAUGGGUUGUACCUAGAAAAUGACAUCAUAAAAUGUGGUGGGAGAAUACAACUAGCUAAUGUGCCUGAGUCAACCAAACAUCCUAUUUUGCUACCUGGAUAUCACCACAUGACCAACCUACUAAUACAAAGAUGUCAUGAACAAAACUACCAUUAUAGCACCAACUUUAUCAUGGCUUAUAUGAGGCAGAAGUGAUUAGAAAAUGUAAGACAUGCCAGAAAUGUAAAGGCAAACCAUUCUCUCCUGCAGAUGCACUUCUACUUCCACAAUUUAGAACAUAAGUGAACCCUUUAGCAUAACAGGACUGGAUUUUACUAGUGCUCUAAAGGUUAAAGGAGAGGCUAGUCAGGUUGCCAGGGCAUAUAUCAUUCUGUUCACCUGUGCCACUACCAGGGCCAUCCAUUUAGAACUGGUAUCUGAUUUAACAAAUCAAAACUUUAUGAAUGCCUUUAGAUGAUUUACAAGUAGACAGGGUCUACCACAACUUAUAUUAAGUAAUAAUGCAACAACAUUUGUUAUGGCUGCCAAUUAGCCAUGUCAAGGAAAUUAUGGAAGACCCUCAUGUAAAUAGCCAUUUAACAUCAGUCAACUGUGAAUGAAAAUUUAUUACAGCUUAAGCCCCCUGGUUUCAUAUGGGAGAGGUUAAUAGGGAGUGUAAAAACUGAAUUAAGGAAAGUCUUUUGUCACAUUUGAUGAACUGCACACUAUCAUAUGAGAAUUAAGAUCCACUAUAAAUGAUAGACCCUUAACUUAUGUAAGCAGUGAUAUCAGUGAACUCAUAUUAGAAUUAAGAUCCGCUAUAAAUGAUAGACCCUUAACUUAUGUAAGCAGUGAUAUCAGUGAACUCAAUGCCAUAACCCCUUCACAGUUAUUAAGAGACAAAAGAUUGAAAUCUUUUCCUAAUCAGCUUUCAUUAGAAGAAAUAUCUGACCCAUCUUAGGGUUCUUCACAAAAUUUAAAGGAGACUCAAUUAUAAAAGUAAAUUUAUAAAUGAUAUAUGGAAAAAGGUGGGUCUCAGAGUCCCAUAGGUGCAUAGUUCCCAAAGAAGGCAUGAUAUGGCCACAAGCCAUGGACGUCAUCCUCAUUCAUGAUGAUGGGCUGUGGUUCUGGUGAAGACUUGGUAAAAUCACUGGCCUACAUGAAGGACAGGACAGGUUAGUAAGGGCAGUGUAUGUAAAGACCUCCUCAGGCACAACCACUUGACCCAUUGCCAGAUUGUAUUCACUCAAACAAAGUCAGGUGGAUGUAGCACCCUCCACUGAUAAUAUCCAGCAGCAGGGGUCUGUCUGUAACCAGUGACCCCUGCAACAAAUGGCAGCAUGCUCUGCAGACUUAUGGAAAUAAAAAAUUGAAACCAGCCAAAUUUAAUGUCAAGUUUACCCCAUGUAAAUAUUUAUAAUAUAAACUAUUUCUCUUGGUGGUGGGAGUAUGUUGGAACUAUUGUUCGUGGUGAUGGUCAUAACAAUCUCAAUCUCAAUAAAAAUGUAUGAACCAAUGAGGAUCCAGGUUGGGUGGAUUCACACUUCUUGAACACCUCGCACUUGCUCUCUCUCUCUCUCUCUCUCUCUCUCUCUCUCUCUCUCUCUCUCUCUCUCUCUCUCUCUCUCUCUCU